rnacentral:rRNA from 1 species
GAUGAACGCUGGCGGCGUGCCUAAUACAUGCAAGUCGAGCGAACGGACGCUAAUCUUGCUUCUCUGAUGUUAGCGGCGGACGUGUGAGUAACACGUGUAUCACCUACCUAUAAGACUGGUAUAACUUCGGGAAACCGGCGCUAAUACCGUAUAAUAUUUUGAACCGUAUGGUUCAAAAGUGAAAUACGGUCUUUCUGUCUCUUCUCGCUGGAUCCGCGCUGCAUUAGCUAGUUGGUAAGGUAACGGCUUACCAAGGCAACGAUGCAUAGCCGACCUGAGAGAGUGAUAGGCCACACUGGAAGUGAGACACGGUCAAGACUCCUAAGGGAGGCAGCAGUAGGGAAUCUGCCGCAAUGGGCGAAAGCCUGACGGAGCAACGCCGCGUGAGUGAUGAAGGUCUUCGGAUCGUAAAACUCUGUUAUUAGGGAAGAACAUAUGUGUAAGGAAAUGUGCACAGAUUGACGGUACCUAAUAAGAAAGCAACGGCUAACUACGUG